rnacentral:snRNA from 6 species
AUGCUUGCUAUGGCAGCAUAAAUACUAAAAUUCAAGCCUACAGAGGAAAUUAGCAUAGCCCCUGUGUAAGGAUGACGUGAAGAUUCAUGAAGCAUUCCAUAUUUUU